GGUACUGGAUAAUGUUCUUCUAGAAGGGUUGAAGCUGGCUUUCGGAUAUUUGCACGCCUGUCUGGAUUCAUUUUCUCCACCUGUGCACCUUUUGUAGUCUUUUUCAGGUAUUGGAGGAAGUGGUCAGCCUAUCAGCUCUUUGCUGGAUGUAAGGACUUGCAGUGUGAAAACAGUGCUGUCCUUUACCUUGGCCAUGGAAUCUUUUUCCUGUUAGAGUCUAUGUUAUUCAUUAUACUCUUAGAAUGUCAUUGAAUGUCUUUACAUGGGCUAUGCCUAUGAAAAUUAUUAUACAACUUUCAGCAACGGAUCUCUUGGCUCUCGCAUCGAUGAAGAACGCAGCGAAAUGCGAUAAGUAAUGUGAAUUGCAGAAUUCAGUGAAUCAUCGAAUCUUUGAACGCAUCUUGCGCUCCUUGGUAUUCCGAGGAGCAUGCCUGUUUGAGUGUCAUUAUAUUCUCAACUCUCCAAUACUUUGUUGUAAAGGAGAGCUUGGAUUGUGGAGGUUUGCUGGCUCCUUACUUGGGGUCAGCUCCUCUGAAAUGCAUUAGCGGAAUCGUCUGCGAUCUGCCACAAGUGUGAUAACUUAUCUACACUGGCGAGGGGAUUGCUUUCUGAUGUUCAGCUUCUAAUCGUCUAAGGACAAUUUCUUGAAUGCUUGACCUCAAAUCAGGUAGGACUACCCGCUGAACUUAAGCUU
rnacentral:rRNA from 1 species